CCGGACGUUCCUGUUCUCUGCACCUUCCUGGCGGAGAAACAAGCGCUGAGCGGUGUCCAGGGACAGCACCUGAGGGUUAUGGUCACAGCGAUCCCACGGAAAUGCCGCAGGGAGUCGCAGAGCUCUCCCGGGCGCGCCCCGUUCCGCAGGCUCAGCGACGUGCUUAGACGAUUUUCUUGGCCCAGCCACCCGGACAGGCGCCUCUCUGUCACUCCACAUCGGGUUGGAGAACACACCCGCCCCGCUCUUUUCUUCAUUGUAACUCGUAAAAGCUCAUCCUCAAGUCUGCCGAUCUGGAAAUUAUUUGAAUGCAGGGCUGGGUUUGUUAGAAAUGUUUUUUUGGCCCUAAAUAGAAAACCAACCAAAUGUUA